ensembl:lncRNA
CUCACAGUCUGCAGCGUCUUCAGGCAGCCAUCAUUUCACAUGAGAGCAGCUGCCUGGAGGAUGCAUUCCUGGAAGUGUGCACAGUGAGGAUGGCUUGGCAGUGAGCACUCUUCCCGCCCUCCUUUUUGUGUUUCUUCAAAAAUCCGGAAGGAGCAGCUUUCUGUCUCCUUGCCCUUCCACCAUGACGCUUCUGCCUUACCAUGGGCCAAAGAGUAAUGGAGCCAGCUACCUGUAGACUGAAAUCUCUGAGACUGAGACCAAACAAACCUUUCCUCAUUCAGUUGUGUAUCUCAGGUAUUUCUCACCGAAGGGCAGCCUGCCCGCUCCAUGACUGACAGGAUGGGGUGGCCCCGCCCCCCCGGGCUGACUGAUGGAUCCGACUCCGUCCCCCCAUCCAGCCCAGACUCGGGUCCAGCACAGUGAAUGGGGCCCUGAAGUGCAGUGUGCAGCUCGGGGUCUCAGGCCUCCCGUUCAGAGCCUCUCCACCCACUGGCCGACUGACCUUGGUUUUGCCCCCUGCUAUGGUCAGAGUCCCCCAAACCUCUAAGUUGAAGCUGAAGGCCGAGGUGAUGGUGUCAGGAGGGGCAGCCCUCGGGAGGCCGUCAGGUCACAGGGCAGAGGUCUCACGGAAGAGAUUAGUGCCCUUACAAUGGGCUCGAGGGAGGGGCAGUGCCCCUUGCUUCUCUUCUGGCAUGUGAGGACACAGUUUGUCCUCUCCGGAGGAGGCAGAGACUGGGCCCUCAGCAGACUGGAGUCAUCUUGGUCUUGUACUUCCUGCCUCCAGAGCUGUGAGGAAACAAAUUUCCCUUCUUUUUAAAGUAACCAGCUUAAGGUAUUUUUUUCCAGCGAUCUAAAGGGACUGAGACAUUGUCUGGACUGGGGUUUCCUGUCUAGAAGAUGGGUCUGUUGUGGAUUCCAUGAGGUCAUAUGGAUCUUCUGCAUUUGGUUCUAGCUAAGUAAGUGUGAUCAUAGGUAAAUUCAGGUCUGUGUGUGUAGAUCUAUGUCUGUGUGUACAGCUACCUAUAAAGUUUUAUUAGCAAGCUAGAACAACAGCAACAUGGCACCAUGAGCCUCUCCCUGGGGCUGGGGCACCUGAUUUGCCUGCCUCACUGCAAGGCUGUGCCCACAUGACGCCUGGGGCAGAAGAUGUGCUCCCAGCAGCACUUGCAUCCUGAUGGUUCUGACCCUCACCUGAAACAGCAAGAAAUCCAGCUUCAGGCGGUGAGUCUUGGUUCAGGUGUUGAUGGUACAGCACGGUCAGGAGGCCUUGCUUGCUGGGGGGGCUUCCCCAGUCACGAGGUCCCCUGGCCCCAACCCCCACUGUGAGCACACUGUGGAAGCCAAGCUCUGUGAAAGCUCCCUGGAAGUGGAUGAUGUAUGGUAUUAAUAAAGGAGAUGUGAAAUAUUCUAUCAGGAUGUUCAUGCCAGAACCAUGCUGGGAAGCACUGUGACCUCCCCUUCAGGUCUCUGCUGCAUAAGAGUUGCCAAAGGGUUUACUUCCCCACGAAAGAUCCUGCAUUCAGACCCCCAGACUGGGUGGGGGCCCAAGAAUUUGCCUUGCCAAGCUGUGGGGGCAGAGGGGCUGUUCAACAGGAUUGCUAAGCUGGUAGGAGGUAUCUCUUUAGCUUCUCUUGUGGGAGGCCUGCCUGUGAUAAGGCUGAGAGAGACAGAGAAAGGGAGGGGAGGGAGGGAGAGGGGAGGGGAGAGAGGAGAAGAGGGGGAGAAGAAGGAGAAGGGGAAAGGCGAGAGGGAGAGAGAGAGGGAGGGAGAGAGAGAGAGAGCAUGCCUGGAUCAAGCCAUAGCUGAAGCCAUCAAUUCAGGUAUCUCAGAAAUACGAACCUGUAAGCCCCAGUACAUUCCCUCAUUUUUCUUACAGCAGAUGGAUUGCGGUUGUAAGAGUCUUGAACGCCACAGGGAUCAUUACCUAAGAGGUAGAGAAAUAAGGAGCAUGUGAACCUGCUCAUCUGUCUGCCCCAGGCUGCUGCUGUGCGGGCCCUGGGUCCAGUGCUGGGGGACAAGGGCGAAUUAUGUCCUCUGUCACAGAUGUUGCUGUGAGGGUAAACAUGAGACCAAGACACUGCCCUGUGCUGAGUGUCGGGGGAAGGGCUUCCCAGAGGAGGCGACACAGAGCUUGUCGCAGGAGAGAGAGAGUGGGCACGGCCAUCAUUGGACUUCUGGCAACUGAGCUCAAGACUGAUGCACGCUGUGUCUUAGGGUGCUCUCCUGGGCUGAGCAGGGCCUGGAGCAGGCAGAUGUGCUCACAGCUGCCCGGUGCCAGGAUACCACAGCCACUGUCCUGCUCAGUCCAGCCCUGGGCUUUGGUGUCCAGGCGGGAGAAACUUGGCUCUGUUGAGCUUUUCAAAAUAAAGUGGUUUUUAUUUCAUAUUCACGAGAGAGGUUGCAAAAGAGACUCAGGGUCGCUGCUUUUCAUAUUAUUUAUGCAUUUGCCCCCCCAUCUCUCUUCCCAAAAGCAAGUCACAAAAGGGCCUUUGUUCUCCACAAGUUCAAAGCCAGCUCCUCCAAGGGGAGACUUCUGGGCGAUCACACGGGAGGCUGCUGUUCCAACGGCUGGCUGUCAGAGCAGAAAUACGGUCCGAGUCAGGGUUCCGGCAGUUUGCACGCUGCAGGAGCCGCCUGAAUGGUUUCCAGUGUGACCUGGGCUGAGGGGCCAGGCUGGGGCAGGGGGAGCAGCCUGAAUCCGCCUUGGCACACCUCGCCUCCAUGGCUUCGGUUUCCUCAUCAGCAGAACCGAGCGUGUGUACGCUGGACUCCAUCAGAGGGUUCCAUGGGGCGCCUGGGGUCGUCUUAGAAACAGGUGGGCUCGGGGGUACCCUGCCCUCUUCUGCCCUUCUGAAGGCUUGAGGGGUUGAGUGUGCAGG